GGAUGAACGCUGGCGGCGUGCUUAACACAUGCAAGUCGAACGGUGAAGCAGAGCUUGCUCUGUGGAUCAGUGGCGAACGGGUGAGUAACACGGUGAGCAACCUGCCCCCGGACUCUGGGAUAAGCGCUGGAAACGGCGUCUAAUACCGGAUACGAGACAAGACGGCAUCGUCAUUGUCUGGAAAGAUUUUUUGGUCUGGGAUGGGCUCGCGGCCUAUCAGCUUGUUGGUGAGGUAAUGGCUCACCAAGGCGUCGACGGGUAGCCGGCCUGAGAGGGUGACCGGCCACACUGGGACUGAGACACGGCCCAGACUCCUACGGGAGGCAGCAGUGGGGAAUAUUGCACAAUGGGCGAAAGCCUGAUGCAGCAACGCCGCGUGAGGGAUGACGGCCUUCGGGUUGUAAACCUCUUUUAGCAGGGAAGAAGCGAGAGUGACGGUACCUGCAGAAAAAGCGCCGGCUAACUACGUGCCAGCAGCCGCGGUAAUACGUAGGGCGCAAGCGUUAUCCGGAAUUAUUGGGCGUAAAGAGCUCGUAGGCGGUUUGUCGCGUCUGCUGUGAAAUCCCGAGGCUCAACCUCGGGCCUGCAGUGGGUACGGGCAGACUAGAGUGCGGUAGGGGAGAUUGGAAUUCCUGGUGUAGCGGUGGAAUGCGCAGAUAUCAGGAGGAACACCGAUGGCGAAGGCAGAUCUCUGGGCCGUAACUGACGCUGAGGAGCGAAAGGGUGGGGAGCAAACAGGCUUAGAUACCCUGGUAGUCCACCCCGUAAACGUUGGGAACUAGUUGUGGGGUCCAUUCCACGGAUUCCGUGACGCAGCUAACGCAUUAAGUUCCCCGCCUGGGGAGUACGGCCGCAAGGCUAAAACUCAAAGGAAUUGACGGGGACCCGCACAAGCGGCGGAGCAUGCGGAUUAAUUCGAUGCAACGCGAAGAACCUUACCAAGGCUUGACAUAUACGAGAACACUUCAGAAAUGAAGGACUCUUUGGACACUCGUAUACAGGUGGUGCAUGGUUGUCGUCAGCUCGUGUCGUGAGAUGUUGGGUUAAGUCCCGCAACGAGCGCAACCCUCGUUCUAUGUUGCCAGCACGUUAUGGUGGGAACUCAUGGGAUACCGCCGGGGUCAACUCGGAGGAAGGUGGGGAUGACGUCAAAUCAUCAUGCCCCUUAUGUCUUGGGCUUCACGCAUGCUACAAUGGCCGGUACAAAGGGCUGCAAUACCGUGAGGUGGAGCGAAUCCCAAAAAGCCGGUCCCAGUUCGGGAUUGAGGUCUGCAACUCGACCUCAUGAAGUCGGAGUCGCUAGUAAUCGCAGAUCAGCAACGCUGCGGUGAAUAC
rnacentral:rRNA from 1 species